rnacentral:rRNA from 1 species
UAGAAGCACCGGCUAAUUCCGUGCCAGCAGCCGCGGUAAUACGGAGGGUGCGAGCGUUAAUCGGAAUUACUGGGCGUAAAGCGCAUGCAGGUGGUUUGUUAAGUCAGAUGUGAAAGCCCGGGGCUCAACCUCGGAAUUGCAUUUGAAACUGGCAAACUAGAGUACUGUAGAGGGGGGUAGAAUUUCAGGUGUAGCGGUGAAAUGCGUAGAGAUCUGAAGGAAUACCGGUGGCGAAGGCGGCCCCCUGGACAGAUACUGACACUCAGAUGCGAAAGCGUGGGGAGCAAACAGGAUUAGAUACCCUGGUAGUCCACGCCGUAAACGAUGUCUACUUGGAGGUUGUGGCCUUGAGCCGUGGCUUUCGGAGCUAACGCGUUAAGUAGACCGCCUGGGGAGUACGGUCGCAAGAUUAAAACUCAAAUGAAUUGACGGGGGCCCGCACAAGCGGUGGAGCAUGUGGUUUAAUUCGAUGCAACGCGAAGAACCUUACCUACUCUUGACAUCUACAGAAGCCAGCGGAGACGCAGGUGUGCCUUCGGGAACUGUAAGACAGGUGCUGCAUGGCUGUCGUCAGCUCGUGUUGUGAAAUGUUGGGUUAAGUCCCGCAACGAGCGCAACCCUUAUCCUUGUUUGCCAGCACUUCGGGUGGGAACUCCAGGGAGACUGCCGGUGAUAAACCGGAGGAAGGUGGGGACGACGUCAAGUCAUCAUGGCCCUUACGAGUAGGGCUACACACGUGCUACAAUGGCGCAUACAGAGGGCGGCCAACUUGCGAAAGUGAGCGAAUCCCAAAAAGUGCGUCGUAGUCCGGAUUGGAGUCUGCAACUCGACUCCAUGAAGUCGGAAUCGCUAGUAAUCGUGGAUCAGAAUGCCACGGUGAAUACGUUCCCGGGCCUUGUACACACCGCCCGUCACACCAUGGGAGUGGGCUGCAAAAGAAGUGGGUAGUUUAACCUUCGGGAGGACGCUCACCACUUUGUGGUUCAUGACUGGGGUGAAGUCGUAACAAGGUAACCG